rnacentral:lncRNA from 1 species
CUUGCAAUCUCCUCUGCCUCCCAGAGAACUACCAGAUGAAGUACUACCUCUACCACAUCCUCUCGUGGCCACAGCUCCUCUACGUCGCCGAAGAUUACAACGGCCGCAUCGUCGGCUACGUGCUCGCUAAGAUGGAGGAGGAAAGCUCCGAGUGCCACGGCCACAUCACCUCCCUUGCCGUGCUCCGGACGCACCGCAAACUCGGCUUGGCCACCAAGCUUAUGACUGCCGCGCAAAACGCCAUGGAGCAGGUGUUCGGGGCCGAGUACGUCUCGCUACAUGUGCGGAAGAGUAAUAGGGCAGCGUU